AUGAGAAUUGAUGGAUCGAGAGAUGAAGGUGCAUAGCGGGCAGGGAAAGAUAUAUGGCGGAUGGAUAAUAAACCACAAAGGGUGUCAAAGUCCUUAUCCUCAGAAGGCAAAAGAGGAGAUUAUGCUGAUUAAUAAUUAGUGUAUCGUGGACGCAUAUGCGACCAGACGGUAGUUCCAAGUAUGCUGGAGUAAUGGGGAUUCAUAGGAAUCACACAUACAUCUU
ncrna:unclassified sequences Clostridiales-3 RNA